AUGCUUACCUUUCAGGGAGAUACUAUGAUCACAGAGGUAGUUUCCUAGUAUGAGGCUCAUCUAGAUAUGUUGACUCCCUUUAUCUCUCCAAAUACAUGAGACUUGGCUACAUAAUUUGAGGCUAUGAGAGAUUGCGUUCAUGCUCUCCCUAU
rnacentral:snRNA from 14 species